CCUACGGGAGGCAGCAGUAGGGAAUCUUCGGCAAUGGGCGAAAGCCUGACCGAGCAACGCCGCGUGAAUGAAGAAGGCCUUCGGGUUGUAAAAUUCUGUUAUAAGGGAAGAAAGGUGAUAGGAGGAAAUGACUAUCAAUUGACGGUACCUUAUGAGAAAGCCACGGCUAACUACGUGCCAGCAGCCGCGGUAAUACGUAGGUGGCAAGCGUUAUCCGGAUUUACUGGGUGUAAAGGGAGCGUAGACGGCUGUGCAAGUCUGAAGUGAAAGCCCAGGGCUCAACCCUGGGACUGCUUUGGAAACUGUGGAGCUAGAGUGCUGGAGAGGUAAGUGGAAUUCCUAGUGUAGCGGUGAAAUGCGUAGAUAUUAGGAGGAACACCAGUGGCGAAGGCGGCUUACUGGACAGUAACUGACGUUGAGGCUCGAAAGCGUGGGGAGCAAACAGGAUUAGAUACCCUAGUAGUC
rnacentral:rRNA from 1 species